GACACUCAACAGUGUGGACACAUCCUGC
rnacentral:piRNA from 1 species